rnacentral:lncRNA from 10 species
CUUUACUUAUUCUAUAUUCAGUGUCAGGCUCUUGCUGCAAAUCUCUGUUACUUUUAUGAUUAGACAGUUUUCUCAAGGGAGAUGGUCUUCCAUGGAAAGAAUUAAAUGUGCAUUAGCAAGUCUGACCCUUUAGGGUAUGUUUAUACUAACACUAUUAGUUCUUGGAUAAAAUCUGUAAGGCUCAGAGCAGGAAUUAAGAUUUCAUAUAUAGACCUCAGUCUCUCAGGGCAUUAUAAAUCAUUAAAACUGUCUUGGAGGCAUGCUCAAGAGCCAAGGGAUAUCUAUUAAUACUUUUUAUGGGUGUGGUUUCAAUGGAGAUUUUUAAUAAAUGAGCUAUGAUUUUUGAUCCAGGCAAAGUGUUUUUUCACACAUGAUAAAAGUGGCUGCACAAAAAUGCUGGAGACUAUGUGUUUAGGCUCAUGCUUACACGCACUGUAGAUUCAAAUUGUGUCUACUUUAAAAAUCCAGAAACUAGUAAUCAUUUGCUUUUACUUAAAAACAAAUAUUGAAAGAUAUAAUUUAUUUACGAAAUUUUUUUUCAGCAAGGAAUUUAAAAAACAUUUUACUCAGGAAAGUCAUUUUGUUUCCCUGAGAAUCCCAUCUAAAAGUUUAUGAGAAGAAUUUAGUAAUUCAUUCCUUUGAAAAACAUUAAAUCAUAUUUCCCUUCUACAGGGAGAUAUGUAGAACAAUUGUGUGCUUCUCCAACUUCCAAAUAGUUUAUAUCCAAUUAAAAUGUCCUUGAAGGAGAAAAGCCAAAGAGUGGCAGAAUUCAGACUGGAUAGGUGGUGUAGCAUGAGUAUGUCAAUCAAAUUUAUGGAGAGAUAAAUAUGAAAUGUGACUCCACCCUCAUCCAUUGUGAGUUUUUGUAGUAUUGUUGGUGAAGUUAUAUUCCUUUUCCAUACUUGCUAGUGCUGUGAGAUUCCUCUACCCCCACUCCCAUCUCACAAUGUGGUUUAAACAGGGUCAUCAGUCAAACCAUGAGGAUAAAUCUGUGUUUAUAAUGUAGAAACUCAUGAAGGUCAAUGAAUGUUCAUUACCCAUUGUGCCCUGCUCUUUCAGUUAUGUGCAUUUGAAAACAGUAAUAGUUUUGUGGGACCCACUUGGACCUCCAGAGUCAGUAUAAAAAUAAUUUUCAAGUGAAAAUAUUUGAGCUAAGUAAGAUACAGAAAGAAAUCAUAACUGAACUUCUUUUAUUGGGCCAAUGCAGCACUUUCAGAAAAUGUUGCUGCUCUGUACUCCCCUCCAAGGGAGUUUUCUGAGAAUUCAGCUGCUGUGGAGACAGACUUCCCAUUUUCCUUAGCAUCAAAAGCCCAAUAGAACCCUCCAUGUCUUCCAUGGAAGCCCUCCCUCCCU